CCUACGGGAGGCUGCAGUGGGGAAUAUUGCACAAUGGGCGCAAGCCUGAUGCAGCCAUGCCGCGUGUGUGAAGAAGGCCUUCGGGUUGUAAAGCACUUUCAGCGGGGAGGAAGGCGGUGAGGUUAAUAACCUCAUCGAUUGACGUUACCCGCAGAAGAAGCACCGGCUAACUCCGUGCCAGCAGCCGCGGUAAUACGGAGGGUGCAAGCGUUAAUCGGAAUUACUGGGCGUAAAGCGCACGCAGGCGGUCUGUCAAGUCGGAUGUGAAAUCCCCGGGCUCAACCUGGGAACUGCAUUCGAAACUGGCAGGCUAGAGUCUUGUAGAGGGGGGUAGAAUUGCAGGUGUAGCGGUGAAAUGCGUAGAGAUCUGGAGGAAUACCGGUGGCGAAGGCGGCCCCCUGGACAAAGACUGACGCUCAGGUGCGAAAGCGUGGGGAGCAAACAGGAUUAGAUACCUAGUAGUC
rnacentral:rRNA from 1 species